GACGAACGCUGGCGGCGUGCUUAACACAUGCAAGUCGAACGGAAAGGCCCUGCUUUUGUGGGGUGCUCGAGUGGCGAACGGGUGAGUAACACGUGAGUAACCUGCCCUUGACUUUGGGAUAACUUCAGGAAACUGGGGCUAAUACCGGAUAGGAGCUCCUGCUGCAUGGUGGGGGUUGGAAAGUUUCGGCGGUUGGGGAUGGACUCGCGGCUUAUCAGCUUGUUGGUGGGGUAGUGGCUUACCAAGGCUUUGACGGGUAGCCGGCCUGAGAGGGUGACCGGCCAAAUUGGGACUGAGAUACGGCCCAGACUACAACGGGAGGCAGCGGUGGAGAAGAGUGCACUAUGGGCGGAAGCAUGGUGCAGCAACGCCGCGUGCGGGAUGACGGCCUUCGGGUUGUGAACCGCUUUCGCCUGUGACGAAGCGUGAGUGACGAUAAUGGGUAAAGAAGCACCGGCUAACUACGUG
rnacentral:rRNA from 1 species